rnacentral:rRNA from 1 species
UACGGAGGGUGCAAGCGUUAUCCGGAUUCACUGGGUUUAAAGGGUGUGUAGGCGGGUAGUUAAGUCAGUGGUGAAAUCUCCAGGCUCAACCUGGAAACUGCCAUUGAUACUAUCUAUCUUGAAUAUUGUUGAGGUAGGCGGAAUAAGUCAUGUAGCGGUGAAAUGCAUAGAUAUGACUUAGAACACCAAUUGCGAAGGCAGCUUACUAAACAGUUAUUGACGCUGAGGCACGAAAGCGUGGGGAUCAAACAGG